rnacentral:snoRNA from 1 species
GCUAUUUCAUUCUUUCGAAAGCACUGUAAUAGCUUCUAUAUUUUUUCAUCCUAUCUGAUCAAUAAACUCAUCAU